rnacentral:rRNA from 1 species
GGUCAGAACGAACGCUGGCGGCGCGUUUUAAGCAUGCAAGUCGAGCGGCAAGGGCCCUUCGGGCCCCUAGAGCGGCGGACGGGUGAGUAACACGUGGACAAGUCUGCCCCCCGGCCCGGGAUAGCCCAGGGAAACCUGGAUUAAUACCGGAUGGAGACGGGACCCGCGAUGGCGGGACCCGGGAAAGGCGCUGCGGCGCCGCCGGGGGAUGAGUCUGCGUCCCAGUUAGCUGGACGGCGGGGUAACGGCCCACCGUGGCGACGAUGGGUAGCCGGCCUGAGAGGGUGGACGGCCACAUUGGGACUGAGACACGGUCCAGACUCCUACGGGAGGCAGCAGCUAAGAAUCUUCCGCAAUGGGCGAAAGCCUGACGGAGCCGACGCCGCGUGAACGAAGAAGGCCGUGAGGUUGUAAAGUUCUUUUCGGGAGGGGGAACAACCGUGGCAGGGAAUGGCCGCGGGAUGACGUGAAUCCCGGAAUAAGCCCCGGCUAACUACGUGCCAGCAGCCGC